ensembl:lncRNA
UUUUAGUCUGAAAUGUAAAUUAUAGAGACUAACAUAUCACUAAAAUGUAAUCAUAAACUGAGCCAAGAAAUUAAGAUACUUCAAAUUCACUUGAAGUAAAUGUGGUUAAAUUGGAGUUCAUGUGUAAUUCUUCAAGAGCACCAUUUCAGUAACACCUCCUCACAUUUCCACCCACAUCUUACUUCAGAACUUUAUAUACAGCCCAAAACUGUGGCAUAUGCAAACUCACUCUCCACUUCACCUGUAUAUAACACAAUUCAGCUCAACAAUCAUCAAACAUAACAUUAUAAUUUAAAUACACCCCUAUAGUGAGAAGGCUUUUUAACAAUGGGGUCAAAAAGCAUUUGUCUGUUCAUUAUUGUAGUGAUUUUAACUCAACAAAGUAUCAGUGGUGAUGAAAUCCGGUUGGAUCAGUCACCUGCUGAGAUAAAGAGACCUGGAGAAUCAGUGCAGAUCUCCUGUAAAAUAUCUGGUUUAAACUCCCCUGUCCUCCCUGUCCCACUCCAACCUCCUAAAGUACCUUUACCUAGGCCUUAAAAUGUCAAAUCCAAGCACGAGUCCUCCAGAACCACUGUAAACAGACUUACUGUACUAACAACUAUUAAAAACACCAAUCACAGAAACGUCUAACAUUUACUGCACCCACACCAACGACAGUAACAGCCUGAUUUCUUCACUAGUAUGACAGAAUUAGAAAUAACAGGGUUAAAAUUUAAAGCAUUGCUGCGAAAUAACAAAAGAGCACAUUGUUUUAUGUAAGUUAUCUGUAUAGAUGUUUAUG